CAAUGGUGGAUGGAUGGAUGGAUGGAUGGACAUCAGGAUCAAUGAAUGAAGGAAUUAUGAAUCAGUGAUGGAUGGAUGGAUGGAGAAGCGGAUGGAUGGAUGGAUGGACAAACGGACAUCAGGAGCAGUGAAGGAUGGAUGAAUCGAUGAUGGAUGGAUGAAUGGAUCGAUGGAUGGAUGGAGAAGCGGAUGGAUGGAUGGAUGGACAAACGGACAUCAGGAGCAGUGAAGGAUGGAUGGGUGGAUGGAUGAAUGGGCAUCAGGAGCAAUAAAGGAUGGAUUGAUGGAUGGAUGGAUAAAUAUAUAUUUUACUAGGUCUGAGGAGCAUGUUACAAAACUAUAAGGGGAAAAUAAUACAUUUUGCUGAAAUUGCUAUUAUUAAUUAUAUGAACACAGUAAAGUCAGUAUCAACUAAAUAUGAGGGUUAAAUGACACAACUGAGAACUCCAUCAAAUCUCCUGGGCUUUGAAAGAGCGAUAAAAUAUUCCUCUGGGGUUUCAUCAAUGGAAUGCUUAUGACAGUCCACAAUAACAGGAAUAAUCUAGAGGUUUUAGCACAAAAGAAACUUUUAGUUUCAAUGGUGCAAAGGAACUGAAUAAAUGUCACAUCUGACAAUCCUCCAGGAAGGACAUAAUAGCAGUGGAGAGUCUAGCACAGGAACACUGAUUCACUCUCGCACACACAGGCGAAACAAGAGAAAGGGAGCAGGGGAAGUGGCUCUCUGUGAGGCCUGUACUCUGUAGGCUUUUGUUCUUAUUGUACUGUUUCUGGGCCUAAGAUGGUGAGGCUGCUCCGGGUUGCAUUGUUCACACUGGACCCCCUUUAUUCUGCUACAUUCAUAGAGACUCUAUUCAGAGAGGAAAACAAAGAAAGAGAGAGAGAGGAUGUGGGACAGUGUUAAAUAUAUAAUAUAUAUAACUGAACUGUAAAUGGAUAAAUUAAAUAAAUACUAAUUAGUCAAUAAUUACACAUUGAUAUUUGUAUAAAAAUAUUUUUAUAAAUCCAGAUCUCUUUUUUUUCUAACGAUCUAAUUGUAUAUCUCCUUCUCUCCAGCUGUUUGUCCUUUGGCCACCCAUGUGACCCGCCCACUGCUUGCAAUGAAAGAGCCAAAGCACCAAACAAACCCAACAUCCAACCUCACAAAACCUCUUCCGCUGUGACCGUUCAGCCCUCCUCUAACAAAAGAAUUGUUCACUGUUUUCCACUUGAGGGAAUUGUUUCUGUGACUGCUGAGUGCAAGAGGUGUCUUUCAGUGCCACUUCUCAUAUCCAGAGUCCGGUAUGAUGAUGGAGAUUCAAGGUGGCAUGGCGCAAAACAUCAUGCUUAUAGGAAAUAUGAACAGCUAUAUUCCUUGGAAGUGACAUGGAAGUAAAAAACUGCAAACAACGAGAAU